UCUGAACCAGCCAUGCCGUGUGCAGGAUGACAGCCCUAUGGGUUGUAAACUGCUUUUAUACAAGAAGAAUUCCCUGUACGUGUACAUGGUUGACGGUAUUGUACGAAUAAGGAUCGGCUAACUCCGUGCCAGCAGCCGCGGUAAUACGGAGGAUCCAAGCGUUAUCCGGAUUCAUUGGGUUUAAAGGGUGCGUAGGCGGAAUGAUAAGUUAGUGGUGAAAGCCCCCGGCUCAACCGGGGAACUGCCAUUAAAACUGUCAUUCUUGAGUAUAGUUGAAGUGGGCGGAAUGUAUCAUGUAGCGGUGAAAUGCUUAGAUAUGAUACAGAACACCAAUAGCGUAGGCAGCUUGCUAAACUAUAACUGACGCUCAGGCACGAAAGCGUGGGGAGCAAACAGGAUUAGAUACCCUGGUAGUCCACGCCGUAAACGAUGAUCACUCGCUGUUGGCGAUACACAGUCAGCGGCUUAGGGAAAC
rnacentral:rRNA from 1 species